rnacentral:lncRNA from 1 species
UGUUGUGUGUCUUGAAUAUGCAAUUUUAUGCAAAUUUCUUGUAUGCACAGAAAGAAUGAAGCAAAGUAGUCUCUUAAUGUCCAGCCCUCCAUCCCUCAGGCUUCACAGUAGGAUCCUCACUUUUGGAACUGGAAUAUAACAUUAUGUUUCACUGCUUUUCUGAUUUUUGAGGAAGUGAGCAUGGAUUAACAGUUAAACGAUGCAAAUCUGCACUCUGACUGGCUUCUAGGUAUGUAAUUUACAGCAAACCUGAUGCUAGAAUCUCUAGUUUUUACAACAUUCAGAUGCAGAGCACAGGAGGCAGCAGAGACUAUACACAGAGAGCAGCAGGUAGAGGAGGGGCAGAGCAGCAGGCAUCUGCUACACUCUGGGACAGGUGGUCUGGAGCAAAUAAAUGGAUUGUUUUGACAUUUUUACUUAGGUACGAGGAAGGUGAGUGCAGGGAGUAGAAAGAGCAGAGAUAUCUGGACUGAGAACCAUAAAAGCUUGGAAAAGACCACUAAGACUACCUAACUGAACUAUCAACCCACCACCACCACCUUGCCCACUAAACCGUGUCCCUCCAUUCCACAUUUACACAUCAUCUCCAGGGACAGCGACUUCACCACCUCCCUGAAUUUGGGGUUUGGAAUGAAAGAGGAAUUGGUGCAGUAUGAGAAGAAACACCUACAAUAAGUUCUCAGAAGCUGUAGCAAAUGUGUGCUCAUAACAAAGUUCACAAGGGCAUCGAGUAUUAGUGCUACACAGGCAAUAUCAGAUUGAUGCAGAAGUCUACUUGAAUGGACAUCUUUGAAGAUUUUCUGACUUCAGAGACGUAUUUUUUUCUUAAUUUUUUUUAAUUUGUUUUUUUUUCCCCUCUAAAUAUUAAUUAUUUUCUUUUUCUGAUACCUCUACCGACAUUUUUUUUUUGUGUGUGUGUGCCUGUAGAAAGUAAGGAAAUAUAUAAGAUUCUGGAAGCCAGCAAAGUUGCUGAAGGAUUUGAGGUGAGGAAGUCUUAGGAUCAGAGUAACAAAAAUGAUCGUUUUCCAUCUAGAUAUUAGGGAUAGCCUACCCUGCAAUCUUGUCUGAGAGGUAUAAUAGAAAAGUCUGUUAAUUCUAACUAAAAUGCUUGUAGCCAAAUCAUAGCUAUGACGGUUUUAAAAGGCGGCAAGUUCCUACUGAAAUUGUUUAAAACUUGACAAACCAAAUUAACAUGAAUAGCAAAUAGAAUUGUUUCUCUGCUAAGGACUUAUUUGCUGUGUAUUUCACCGAGUAGGCGUUAAUCUUAAGUAUUUU